rnacentral:rRNA from 1 species
AUGGACUCGUUCUUCUUCCUAUCGGGAUUUCAGGUGUGUGGGACUUUUGAGGAGCCUCCUACUGGAUUGAUACCUUGGUUCUCAAAAACUGAGGGAAAUACUUACGCUACACUUGCUGCAUCACCCUCUCCUCUUCGAGGAAAACCAAUGCAAGCUCAAGACAUAGCAAGAAGGAUUUCUGGCGCCGUUGCCGGGGAGGUCUUCGCUCAAGUCAAGACCUACCAAGUACCCAUCACAAACCCAUCUCCCUCGCAUUUACAUUAUUUGCCAUUUGCCUCUCGUUUUCCUCUCCCCCACUUCACCCUUGCCAUUUUAUUUUCCCUCUCUUUCCCAAUCUCUCUCUCCCUCUUUUGCUUGCCCUUUCGUUUGCUCGUUUGGUUGGAAUAG